GGUGACUGGGUUAGGAAGUAAGGGGUGAGAAUAAGAAGUCAGGACCAACUCAGCUAGAAGUCUUGGAUGUGAAGCAAGCGGAAUUUCCGUGAGGGGCUUGGCAGGGUGACUGAAACCCAACUCCUGAGUGAUGGAGCGUUCUCUACUCUGCCAACCACAGUGCUAAGUAAUGGGCCCAGAGCAGAGCAGCAUGUGCCCUCAGCCUGGGAAAUGCUCUGGUAUUUGGUGCUUGUGACAAGGCAUGAGAAAAAUGAACCUGUGCAUCAGCUGUAGUACCUGCUUCAGGUAGAAUAACGGCAUGGAAGAACAGCAGCCAAAGUGGGAGGGCUUGGCAGCCCAUGUUGGGAGAGCUUCUAGCUACAGCAAAACCUGGAGUUUCAGCUUUAUA
rnacentral:lncRNA from 1 species